UACGAAGGGGGCUAGCGUUGCUCGGAAUCACUGGGCGUAAAGGGCGCGUAGGCGGCCUGAUAAGUCGGGGGUGAAAGCCUGUGGCUCAACCACAGAAUUGCCUUCGAUACUGCUAGGCUUGAGACCGGAAGAGGUAAGUGGAACUGCGAGUGUAGAGGUGAAAUUCGUAGAUAUUCGCAAGAACACCAGUGGCGAAGGCGGCUCACUGGCCCGGUACUGACGCUGAGGUGCGAAAGCUAGGGGAGCGAAUGGG
rnacentral:rRNA from 1 species